UACGUAGGUGGCAAGCGUUGUCCGGAUUUACUGGGCGUAAAGGGCGUGCAGGCGGUUUGUUUAGUCUAGGGUGAAAGCUCCCGGCUUAACUGGGAGAGGUCCUUGGAUACUGGCAAACUUGAGGGAGGCAGAGGAAAGUGGAAUUCCUGGUGUAGCGGUGAAAUGCGCAGAUAUCAGGAAGAACACCAAUGGCGAAGGCAGCUCUCUGGGACGGUACUGACGCUGAGACGCGAAAGCGUGGGGAGCGAACAGG
rnacentral:rRNA from 1 species